UUUUCUUACACGCUAGCUUAUUUCUUAAUAUUUUGGAAUCCAUUGCUGUGUGCGUUGUGUGUUCCCAAGGGAGCUGAACACAAGCUACAAGCUUUGGAUAACUUUCAGUUCUGUUCAAUUUUAUCAUCUCUUGGACUCUCUCUUGGACUUCUUCUCAGUGGCUGGCAGCUAUGUGUAUCUAAGACUUGAAUCAUACACUGACAUCUGUCUGAAAUAAUGGCAAGACUUGCAAUUUUCAGUGGAUAUUAGAGGUAGAAUUGCCCAAACAAUUGCCAAAAGUCUUCACCCAGUUUCCAGAAAAGUCUUAAGCGUGGUGAAAUCUAAGCCCUGUGAAUUGCCAGGAGAUUUAGAUCAGUGGCUGAAGAAGUUCAUGAAAUCACUGCCUGCAGGGCAGGGGCAGCAGAUGGGAAUGGUGCUUUGGCCAAGGCUGUUCUGGAGAGAAAUCUGGUGGUUUAGAUUGACCCCUACUAAAAGUGAAUCAAAUGUGAAAUUGAAAGUCAAGUUGGCUUGGGGAGUGAGGGAAUAAAGUCAUUGGGUAAGGAGCUGGAACAAGGAACAGCUGUCAGAGAAUGGAAGUUAAAGAAUGGUUUGAGAGAGAACAGAGGCAAGGUGGAGAAGCUGAGCAGUGAAGGAGAAAAGGUGAAAGUGAAUGGACAAAAUCCCUUCUAGCCACAAUCAAGAAGAAUAUAGAAGUUGGGCUAUAACUGGAGAUUCAGGAAUCUCCAGUGCUCCUUGGCUGCAUAGCCAUUUGCUAAAAUGCUUGAUGGUUCUUUCUCUAAGUAACUGUUACCAGAAAAGAUUGCUAUCUGCAGCAGCUGUUAGCCACCAGUCUUACCUUAUGCAAUCCUGGUACGUUUCAAACUGCUGCUGUUGAACCAUGCAAGAGGCAACUUGUGUCACAUCAUUGAGACAGAGAAGAAACUGCUCUUCUAAUUCAAUCUUUUAAAGAAAACAAAACAAACAAAACCACCAACAACAAAAAAGCACACCGAAGUAUUCUCUUUGGAGAAUGUGAUUAAGGUUGCAAUUCAAGUGGACUAGAGACCAUCUGGGCAACUUCCCUCAGCUCCCUGGCAUCAAAUCUUGAUGAGAUGACCUGAAAGCUGUGUCUUGUGGGGCAGGAGCAACGCAGUCAUGCUCAGCUGAAUCUUGUUCUGGAAAGCUGUAUCUUUUUUGUGUCUCAUAGACAGAAUUAUGCUGCCAGGUCCCUUCAGCUAUAAUUUUCAGAAAAGGUCAUUUCUAACUUCUUCACUCAGCGCUCAGCUUGAGUCGCAGUUCUGAUUUGGUGAACCCAGCAGCCCUGAUGGCUCUGACUGGAGAUAACAGAGGUCUGUGCUUACCUCAGCACAGCUCAUCUCUGCUCGUGCCUGUUAUGGGAUGUCACAGAACUGUUACAUACUGCUAUGCGUUCUAAAAACUGGGAGUUGCGAAGUCUCAUGUCAGGAUCUUAAAAUUACUGGAAAUAGUUUGUUAAUAUCUCUGUGUCUCAUCUGAAAAUGGUGACAGUGCUGCCUUUUCCUCAAAGAGGUAUAGGUAAAAUAUUUUGGAAAUCACUUGGAUACUUCUGGAAAGGUAUCUCGAAACAGAGAACGGUUUUGAAUGGUGUUCUGUAAAUAAAGCCUGGAAUUCAUAUGCAGGGACCAUGCUGGGCUUCCCUGUGCCUCUGCUGGUGGGACAUUCAACUGGUCCUGCCACCCAGUGUGCAGCUGCGCAGCAUACAAGCAGCAGGGCUGUGAUGCCAUGCUCCUAUCUCCUCAGCAGCAUUUAGCAUUGCAAAAUGGAUUAGCUGAAAAGUGUCGGUACUGGAACAUACCCAUGACUUGGUCUCCAGUGUGGUGCUGAUGAGGGGAAUCAGAUGGACCAAGGGGACUGUAGCAUCACCUACUUUGCUGUGGACGGUGUAGUUGGAAACAAGGCUCCACAGCUGCACAAAGCACCUGAAUACACAGAACACAUCAGGGUUGGAGCAGCAGAGCCGUGCAUCGGUGUCUUACCAGCAGACAAACGCCAGUAGGAAUGGGGAUACACCCUGCCCUUUGUGAUGUAGAGUGCAUUUGGAGUGGUGAAUUUUGCAUCUAGGUGACCAUAUCAAUACUUCUAAGACCAAGAUAAGCUGGCUGUUGCAGAGCUAAUCAGAUAGAAGGACUGGGCAUUAGGAGAUCAUCUGAGUCCGAAGACGUUAAAGGAACCCUGGAUUAGUGGCUCUGGAACUGAAGAUUUACAAAGUGACUGUGAGGAAAAUGAUUUGGCUUGAAAAGCCCAGAAGGGCCUGGGUAAUCCUUCAGCUGAAACACUGAAUUUCUUUGUGCAACAGACAGAGCACGAGGCUGGGAGCCCCAAAUGCCAGAGACUGGCUCUUGAAUGUUAGAAAUGGAUAUGGAUUAGUUGAGGGAACUCCUUGUUUCUGUUCUGAAGUGUAAACCCAGCCAUCAAACUGCUGUUUCUCCAGUUCAAAAACAUUUAGACAGAAGCAAACCCCACAAAACACUCACAUCCAAGUUGCUCUGCUUUGCUGUGCAACACAGAGGGUGGGAUUUAGUGUCAGGUAAAGGAAGGGAUUCCUCUUCUGAAUGAAUGGCCUAGCUGUGCCCCACUGCAGUGUCUGUUGUGUUAUUCUGAUGCGGCCUGUUUACUUACUUUCACCAUGACUGCCCAGAAAUCCCAUGGCAAGCAAUGUCAGAACAUUUGCCAAAUCACUACUUCACCCAUUGAGCUGAUUGUUUCAUGUUAUUUG